rnacentral:rRNA from 1 species
GACAGAGGGUGCAAACGUUGUUCGGAAUUACUGGGCGUAAAGCGCGUGUAGGCGGCUCUGCAAGUCGGGUGUGAAAUCCCAUGGCUCAACUAUGGAAGUGCACUCGAAACUGCAGGGCUAGAGUCCUGGAGAGGAAGGUGGAAUGCUUAGUGUAGAGGUGAAAUUCGUAGAUAUCAAGCGGAACACCCGUGGCGAAGGCGGCCACCUGGGCCGACCCUGACGCUGAGGCGCGAAGGCGUGGGGAGCGAACGGG